rnacentral:lncRNA from 10 species
AGACACACCUUCUUCUGGUGACCUGGCAUGGAGACUGCUUGCCUCCUGGUGAUGAUGGGUUCACUCCCCUUUCUAUGGGAGAGGUGACCAGAGGAGAGCUUUCCAUCUUGGGGCAGAGUAAAUCUAGAUGCUCCAGGCCAAGUUAAAGAACCCUCAACCUUGCUUAAUUCAACAAACCUUGGGGGCACUGUGCCAGGCAUGGGGUGUGGCUGUGACUAGUGCCCAGACCUUGCCUUCCAGAGGCUCUGUUUAGUGGCAGAUGUAGCCCAGUUGUGAUAUAAUAUUACUAUCCACCAAAGUUCACUGUUCCUCCCUUUAAACGGAUGGCAGAUCAUGGCCAUGUUCAACAAGCCAGCAAUGCCCUCAGAAACAGGCUGCACUGUUCAAUUGGGCUCCAGAGUGACGAUGGGUGAACAGAACAGCAGUCAACCUGUGGUGGACAUGUAGGAUGAGGAAAUUGAGACCAAAUGCCAGCUCCCACAUCACACAACUGGCAUUUGAAGCCCAGAAGUCUGGCUCUGGAGUACAUACUCUUAACCACUGCACUUAGCUGGUUCUCCCAGGCUCAUGGGGGAGAAAGGUGAGCACUCAGAUAACUCCACCCUCUGUGUGCUUUGCUUGGGUGAUCUCACCAACACCAUGGCUUCAACCAUUACAUAUCAGUUUCCACAUAUUCAGCAUGGAUCUUCUUCUACUUCCUAUUAAACUCUGUACCUGGGUAUCUGGUGGCCAUUACAAACAAGUGUCAGUCCUCAGUAGGUCACUGUCAGACUGCAAUGCACAAACUACAAGGGAUCCUCUUGCUGCAAAUCUUCCUGUGUCUUCCCAUCAUCUUCCCUUAGCACAGUACCCCUGCUGUUGCUAUUUCUCCAGCCUCAACUGGAAACCACCCAAAUGUCCAUCAACUGGUGAUUGUAUAAACCAACUGUGGUACAUCCAUACAAUGGAAUACUACUCAGCAAUGAAAAGGAACACACUGAUACAUGCAACAGCAUGGGUGAGUCUCAAGAGCAUUGGACUAAAUGAAAGAAACUAGAAAAAAAAGAGUAUCUACUGUAUGAUUCCAGAAAGUUCUAGGAAAGGCAAAACCAUAAUGAAAGAGAACAGAUCAGUGGUUUCCAGGGGUUGGGGGGUGGGUGGCAGGAAUUGAGUGCAAAGAUGCAC